rnacentral:lncRNA from 1 species
AAGGGUGAGCUGCUUUAAGUGCCCUGGCAAGGUGGGACAGGAGGAGCAAGAGGGGAGGCCUGUAUUCUGGCAGAACACAGUGGCGAUGAGGGAGAAUGGUCUGUUGAAGUCAUUCUCCCUAAAUGAGUGUAGUACUUCUCUGCUCAUGGAAAAAUAGGCUAUUGGAGUUGUGUCAAUGUAGGAUGCUGGUGUGGAUGAUGAUUCAGGGCAAGAGGUUCUGGAUGUGCUUUGAAGAAUCCUCUGGAUGAGCCAGUACCUGCAGUGACUGCAAAGAAGGCCACGGGAUUUUGUGUCGCACCACUGAGGUGGUCUGGGCAGUGAGCCACAAAGUUGCUGACGCUUCGUGUACCCAAGGAGCAGCCAAAAUCCAGGAUCACGGUGUCCGGCUGUCAGCAGAGAGCAGGGAGCAUUCACACAUGAACAAGUCUUCCUUUGAGAACUGGAAGCUGAAGCCUUCAUCAGAUAAAUGGUGUGCAUACAGGAGUAAGGAGCUGCCUGGACCCAGAGGGCUGAGAGGACUGCAGCACAGAACUGCCUGCGGAUACGUUUGCUGAGCCAUUUCAGAAACAGCGCAACGAUUUCUGCACUGUGCACAACUUGGCACAAGUUGAUCGUGUUUGUCAGGGGAAGGGGGAGAGCUGAACUGAAUAAAAGCAGUCCCAUCUCUCA